CCUUUUAAAACCCUAAUUCUAGAAUCCGUGUUUAUUUAUAUACUUUUGUUAAGAGGGAGAAAGAGAAAAUCGCCUUUCCCAUAUCUUUUCCCACCGCCAUGGGUCUGCUUGAAGCCUUGAAGUCGCUGAACCAUACGAUCGAACCUGGACUCUUCUCCAUCCUUAUCCUCUCUAUACGAUAUUUCCUAUCGCUUGGCCUUAUCUCCAUCGUCACUCUGAUUUUUCUGAAAGCCGCUGGCUGCAUAAGCUUCAGCAGCUCCAUGGCUCCCUGUCUUUUCGAUGGUCGCGCACGCUAUGGCCCUGGCUGUCGCGCCAUCGCACCUCCCAGAGCUUACAUCGUCGGCCGCCCCGAGCUCGCCCCUAUGCUCGGACCUUGCCUCCCUGGCCAUCGUGGCGUCACUAUUUCCUGCUGCGUCGUGACAUCGUCGAGCUCCGGUGCUUAGCGUCGAAUUCACUGCGCCGUUGUCGCUCUAGCUUCGUUUGUCCUCAUGCGGGGUGUGGCGGUCGUGUCCACAUCCGAGGCAUCAACGUCCGCAUCGCCAGCAUCAUCGUCGUUUCAGCAGCUUUGUCGCACCUUGCGUUCGCACCGGAAGACCAAAGGGAAGCGACGACGUGCACCACUUGUCAGGUGUUCGGUGUUAUGCAUGGACCGGAUAGCGUCGUCGAUCUCGUGGCUUUAAGACAGAUUUAGUUUUGGUACGUUAAGUGAUCAUGUGAUGUGGAGGACCAGAGCUGAGUCGACCACAAUAUGCUGUUAAGCGCGGGCUUCUUCGCAAGGUGAUGCUAAUGAAUAAACUUAAGGAUGGAUCGCCUGAACGAGUGCCAAGACAAAGGAUGGUCGUCAAGUGAUCGUCGUCUAACAAACACUAACCAAGUGUUAUGUCAGGCAAGCCCAGACAACGAGCAGUCCGAGGUUCCUAAGUGUGUUGUUGGAGACCUUCCCGAGCAACAACCUGGUGAAGGCAAGUGUCCUCUAACCUAUUAUGUCCUACAUACCUUAUGAUUCAUUGUCCCGCAUUACAUUAUUGACUAGCUUGUAGUUACCUUAUCCUUGUUUACCUUUUUGGGUUAUCAUGGUUAGCAUUUUGCUAUUGCCUCAACUUUAACCAAUGAACAUGAUGUGAACAUUUAUGAAACAAUAUUGUUAUCCUGAUUAUGUUGAUGAUCUUUUGAUACUCUAGGAGGCUCAGGCCUUUUUCCUGAGUACCUCUCCGUAAGGUCCUGUUCGUCGAGUGACCACCUAGGAUAACAGUGCAACCAUGAGGGUGGAAUGGGACACCCUUAGCUGAUUAAUUAGAUGAACCUGGGGGUGUAGUUGGCUUUGCCGGAGGGCCGUCAAUGGGGGCCAGGGUGUAGUGCUCGCUCUGCCAAGGUUGGGGUGCAGAGGUUCAUUCGAUUUAGUUUUGUUAGUCACCCACCUUGGGGAGGUGUACAGCGUUUGUACGACUGGCAAAACCUAACGAGCAGCUAUGCACCAUGGGAGUCUCUGUAAAGGCUACAUAGUGUAUCCCUGGCCAUUCACCUUGGUAGUGAAGAUCAGGUCUGUACAACCCAGGCUAGAAAGGGAUCACGACUCGUGGGUAAAGUGUGCAACCUCUGCAGUGUUAGAAACUGGUAUAUCAGCCGAGCUCACAGUUAAGAGCAGCCUUGGGAUCCACUUUGAUUAGAAGAACUUUGGAUACUUUUAUGAUGAUGGUUAGCAAUGGUGUUACAAAUAUGAUCUCUGGUAUUUCCACUUUUGAGGGAGUACUUUUGGGUAAUAACUGGGUUUAUUACUAAAACUUGGCUCUACUAACAAUAAUAAAUACUUGACCAACUAAAAGCAACUACUUAACCUCAACCCCACAUACAGCUAGUCCACUUUAGCCAAAUGGGACAUUUGCUGAGUACGUUGAUGUGUACUCACCCUUGCUUUACACAUCACCCCCACCCCAGGUUGUCCCCAUUGUACUCAGUGCUUAGGAGGUGAUGCUGGCAACAUGGAGGACUUCGAGGAGUUCCAGGAAUACGACGAGUUUUAGUUUAUCUUAGUGGCAAACCCCCAGUCAGCUGCCUGUGUAGGCUUAUCAUCUACGUUUUGUUUCUCCACACUUUGAUAUUUAUGCUAAAGACAAUGGUUAUGUAAUAGACUCUAUGGAUGUCUCAGACAUCUGGAUGUAAUUAAGUACCUUUUCGUUAUUUAAUUCGAGCAUUGUGUGAUGAUGUCCAAUUAUGUAAUCACUGUGUACGUGAGUUCUGAUCCUGGCACGUACAUGGUUUGCAUUCGGUUUACCUUCCAAAACCGGGUGUGACAGCUCUACACAUAACGACAAGUGAACUGAAGAGAUGAUAAAGGAUGGCUAGUAUAGGCCAAGUGCUUGAUCUCGAAUAGAAAGAAAUCUAGAUGCAAGUAACUACUUAACUUGACAAGUAAAAUGAAUUCUUAAGGAUCCACUCAUAGUAAGCUUUUCUGCAAAAAGAGUCUUUGAAUCUUGAUAAGCUUUAACUUGAUUCCAAAAGCCAGCAUAUCCUUGAGAGUCUUUUUCCUUAGGCGGGUAAGACUGGCAAAAGUACACUUCGUACUCAGGGUUUUCGAACCCAUGUUGUUGCAGGUACUAUAUUUGUGCUGCUGUGGAUGGUGCUAAGAGACGGUGGGCACGACCUUCUUAUAGGUUUAAGUAGCUCUUCUAUACUUCUUAUUAAGGAUGGUCACUUAAGGUAGCAUGUAUUUCAAACUUAUGAAAGGUAUACAUCAUUCAAAGUGAAAUACUUUGGAUUUACUUUAUAAUCACUUCGAUCAUGUAUAAUGUAAUCUGAAUGUAACUUGUAACUAUUUGUAAUAAAGAAUAUCCGCUACAAAUGUUGGUGUGUGAUUUGUGUUUA